rnacentral:tRNA from 1 species
GACGGGAUGGCCGAGUGGUUAAGGUAAGAUACCCCACACACUUUCCAAAAGAAGAAGCACUAACCAGCAACAGGCGAUGCCCUGCUAAGGCAUUGGGUUCUGCCCGCGUGUGUUCGAAUCGCACUCUCGUCG